ACUACAUUAUAAGAUACUUCGGUUUUCAAAACAUUUUUAUAAAUAGUAUAAUAAUAAGAGAAUCUUAUUCUCAUCAAGCAACCGUGUGUAGAAAGUUAUAAUUAAGAUAGUAUUUAAGUCGAAAUUAAUGAGCUGCGAUAAUUAAAAUUAAUAAAGCGUCCGCAGUGCAUUCACUUCUGCGAGGCCUUGUGCGCGGAAAAUGUGACGGGAAGAUGUGAUACGUUGAGCAGCAGGAUAUAGUUCGACGGUCAUGCUCUGUUGACUGCAACCAGUUGCAACUCGCGACGUGACACGAAUCGUAUUCCGCGGUGUAUUAUCCGAAGAUUGAUCCGUCGCAAUUUUUCAAUUUUACUGCCAGCGGAGAAGCAAUUUGUACGAUGCAGCAUAUCCGAACUGAAAAUCCUGUUGUGCGGAAGUUGUGCAAACAAGCCUCCUCGGACAAAACGGAAUUGAAAAGCAUACGAGACGUUACUCUCGUGUAGAUACAGUUAGUCCAGCCCGGUCAUGCUUCCCCGAUUGUAACCAGUCGCACCUUUGCGCGCCUCGGUGGCGAGCCGAAAUCAGCAAGGUGGAAGCGAGCGGAGAACAGAGGAAGGCCGCCGUAAUUUUCCCACCGGUAAUUCAGACUUAAUAAAGGCGCCGGAACAAAAGGCGUGACAGCUGGGCCGCUCCUCUGUCCCGAGCGACAAAAGGUCGAUCUCGUUGACAACGCACCCUUCACAUCGCUAUGACUUCAUUCACGGACCGGAAACGCACGCACACGCGCGUGUCUCGCGACCUCGCGCAUCGGAAAUACGCAAAAACGUAGCUGGAAAUUUUAGACGAUUCCGGACACGUACCGCAAAAAUAAAAAAUAUAAUCAAAAUUUUUAUUUCCAAAAUUGAAAGUUACUUUUCAUCACCGUUUAACAUUUACUUAACAACCAUCAUGUUCCAGAUUGAUUAUUGUAUUGAAAUUAUUUUAACAUGCGGAUGAUAAUGAUAAUAAUUUAGAACAAUAAAUUUAUAAUAAUAACAAUUCCUGGCGCUGAUGUUGUACAAAAUUACGGUUUUGUUCACGGAUGGACGAUAAUCGUGCACAGCACGAUGACGCUGUUACAAACCGCUGAUUUUCGCAAAUAAGAUAUGUUCUGUUACACUCGCGCUUCUAUAAAUCCGCGCAAAUUAAACGAGAAUUCAAUUUAACCUGCUUAGAGGCGCGAGCAGCGGCAUCACGACGCGUUCCAUUUCGCUUCCAGAUCAAAACGAUAAGAAACAAAUACUGCGCGGAUCGCGCUGAUGCACUCCGAUAUUAAUUUGUUUCGUACAACACAAUUAGAACGUAGCGCGCGUAAGCACGCUUCGUGAAUGCGAUCCCGGUUACGCCGCAAAGUAUGAAAUUGCGCAGAGUGCAAGCAGUAAAAAAAAAAAA